UGGGGAAUUUUGGACAAUGGGCGAAAGCCUGAUCCAGCAAUGCCGCGUGUGUGAAGAGGGCCUUCGGGUUGUAAAGCACUUUUGUCCGGAAAGAAAUCCUUGGCUCUAAUACAGUCGGGGGAUGACGGUACCGGAAGAAUAAGCACCGGCUAACUACGUGCCAGCAGCCGCGGUAAUACGUAGGGUGCAAGCGUUAAUCGGAAUUACUGGGCGUAAAGCGUGCGCAGGCGGUUUGCUAAGACCGAUGUGAAAUCCCCGGGCUCAACCUGGGAACUGCAUUGGUGACUGGCAGGCUAGAGUAUGGCAGAGGGGGGUAGAAUUCCACGUGUAGCAGUGAAAUGCGUAGAGAUGUGGAGGAAUACCGAUGGCGAAGGCAGCCCCCUGGGCCAAAUACUGACGCUCAUGCACGAAAGCGUGGGGAGCAAACAGGAUUAGAUACCCUGGUAGUCCACGCCCUAAAACGAUGUCAACUAGUUGUUGGGGAUUCAUUUCCUUAGUAACGUAGCUAACGCGUGAAGUUGACCGCCUGGGGAGUACGGUCGCAAGAUUAAAACUUAAAGGAAUUGAC
rnacentral:rRNA from 1 species